UAACAAUCUUUUUUAAAGAAAAAAAAAAUUAAAUCUAAAAAUAUUUACUGAUGCAAUGCAAUGCUUAACUGCAGCAUUACAAAAACGGGUAAAAACAAUGAGGACAGAAAUGUUUAUGACUUUGUGGAAAGCAAUAAAGGUGUAUAUCUAAAUGUCUCUUGAAGGUUGAAUAACUGACUGAAAUGCAAAGAGGAACAGAAAGCAUAAUUAAAUUACAAUUGAGAUAAUUCGAGGACAAAAAAUAUGCUGUAAACUUGAACUCGUUUACGAGAAAUACCCGAGACUUUUGCGACCUACUUAAACCCCCUAACAUUUCAUCGCUCCAAUUGUCGCCCAUUGUUUUCAACGAAAUAAAAGAUGAUGCGAAAAAUAGUUGGUUUGCAGUAUUUUGUACAUGCACUGCCAUUUUAGACUGAAAAAAAAACAGAUGAUAAAAAUCAUUGAUUCUAAAACUAAGCUCGAAUGCAAAACA